CCGGAUAGUGCAUAUAUUAUUUAAUAUUCACAAGUACUUUCAUGUUUUACAACAAUCUUCAGGUGAAAGGCGAAUAAUUGUAACUAUGAGACGGUAGUUAAGUAUGUAACGUCAUAAAACAAUUACAAAAGGGAGAUAAACGUUCUAAAGUAAAAUAUGGAAAGCCAAAUGUAACGCUAUUGAAAGCCUAAUGCGCAUUUAGUUUUGACUUGAAUUAGGUUAUAAAAUAUUGUUCCUUUAUGGAUCUUCUAAUGUCACAUUCUACAUUAAUUUUAUAGAACGGGAAAAUUUUAAAAAGCCCUCUACCACAACGAUCUAAAUGUUCAUUAAGAGGGAUUUUCCUAUAUUGCGGCUGUCGGAUGUGUUGUCGAUGAAUGCGUGUUCUUUCCACUAAACUAUUACCGGUUUG
rnacentral:lncRNA from 1 species